rnacentral:rRNA from 1 species
GACGAACGCUGGCGGCGUGCUUAACACAUGCAAGUCGAACGGAAAGGCCCUGCUUUUGUGGGGUGCUCGAGUGGUGAACGGGUGAGUAACACGUGAGUAACCUGCCCUUGACUUUGGGAUAACUUCAGGAAACUGGGGCUAAUACCGGAUAGGAGCUCCUGCUGCAUGGUGGGGGUUGGAAAGUUUCGGCGGUUGGGGAUGGACUCGCGGCUUAUCAGCUUGUUGGUGGGGUAGUGGCUUACCAAGGCUUUGACGGGUAGCCGGCCUGAGAGGGUGACCGGCCACAUUGGGACUGAGAUACGGCCCAGACUCCUACGGGAGGCAGCAGUGGGGAAUAUUGCACAAUGGGCGGAAGCCUGAUGCAGCAACGCCGCGUGCGGGAUGACGGCCUUCGGGUUGUAAACCGCUUUCGCCUGUGACGAAGCGUGGGUGACGGUAAUGGGUAAAGAAGCACCGGCUAACUACGUG